rnacentral:lncRNA from 1 species
GCACCUAAACCAAUAACAUUAAUAAUCAAUUUUCUUUAUAUACAGCUUUGCUUCUCCUUGUGCUUCUCCUCUUCCCCCAUAAGUCAUCUGAGAAGACUGCUUAAAUAUUCCACGCUGCCUUAGUGUGACUCAAAUUUCCAGCUGUUUUGCUGCCAGGAAGAACCAGGUGCCUUGGGAACAGUGAGGCUGAAAGGAGCAGGAAGCAAAGAAUGAGGCUGUUGAAGAAAUUCCACAGAUAUUUCCGUGGAAGUAUCAAGAAGACCUAGAGUAAGGCAUCAUCAAAUUGAUAGACUUGAACAAAAGGGAGGAGUGAGACAGACGGAUGGAUACAGAGCAUGGAGGUGUAUCACAUGACCUCCAUGUAAAGUGAUCAGGGAUAUCUCAUUGUCACUCACUCAUAGAUGGAAAAUUUGUGAAUUUGCCAGGAC